AUGCUUCUGUAUGAUGUGCAUCUUGAUGAGCGUGCAGAGGAUGACAUAUUAUGGUAGCACUCCAACUCUGGGCAUUACUCCGUGGCCUCUGCUUACAGGGCACAAUUUUUGGGUUUGGUCCUCUCCCGCAUGGACCAAAUGGUUUGGAAAUCUUGGGCCCCACCGAAGGUCAAGUUCUUUGCUUAG
rnacentral:rRNA from 1 species